UACAGAGGUCUCAAGCGUUGUUCGGAUUUAUUGGGCGUAAAGGGUGCGUAGGCGGCGAGCUAAGUUUGGUGUGAAAUCCUGGGGCUUAACCUCAGAAAUGCACUGAAUACUGGUUUGCUAGAGGACUGGAGAGGAGAUUGGAAUUCACGGUGUAGCAGUGAAAUGCGUAGAUAUCGUGAGGAAGACCAGUGGCGAAAGCGAAUCUCUGGACAGUUCCUGACGCUGAUGCACGAAGGCUAGGGGAGCAAACGGG
rnacentral:rRNA from 1 species